UACGGAGGGAGCUAGCGUUGUUCGGAAUUACUGGGCGUAAAGCGCGCGUAGGCGGCUUUGUAAGUUAGAGGUGAAAGCCUGGAGCUCAACUUCAGAAUUGCCUUUAAGACUGCAUCGCUUGAAUCCGGGAGAGGUGAGUGGAAUUCCGAGUGUAGAGGUGAAAUGCGUAGAGAUCCGGAGGAACACCAGUGGCGAAGGCGACACGCUGGGCCGUACCUGACACUGAUGCGCGACAGCAUGGGGAGCAAACAGG
rnacentral:rRNA from 1 species